CUCCAGCCCUGGCCUCCCAGAGGGCUAGGAUUUAAAAUGACUUUUUAAAAUUUUAAUUUGUAAAUAUAAUUCUCUAGCUCUAUCAAAUGUUAUUGGAAUUUUUAUCCCAAUAAAAAAGAAGCCGAAUAUAAAAUCCAUUUCAGGAAGUUUCAUAAGUUUGUAAAUUAAAAAAUCAAAUGCGACUAUUACGUCAAACCACUUGAAAUUGCUGAUAUUCAACCAUUGGAACAAAAAAAAGUAGCAAUUUCUCAUGGUUCAACUUAAUAUUUUUUGCACUCAUGCUGAAUGUAAGGCAUCCUUGCAAGCAUGGAAAGGUUCUUAAACCCUUUUAGCUCCUUUAGCUUGCUGAAGAGACAAAGUAUAAUAGUUAAACAUUCAAGCAACUAUUAAAUCACUCAAUAUAGAGAUAUUUUAAAGCAGUACAUAAUUUCCAACUAAAGGGAAUAAAACAGUAUGAUCAGAGGAGGAAACAAGUUUAAAGACAGGAGUCAACUGCCACCAUGACUGUGGGCAAGAGCAGCAAGAAGCUGCAGCAUAUCGACUACAGGAUAAAGUGCAUCCUGCAAGACGGCUGCAUCCUCAUUGGCACCUUCAAGGCUUUCAACAAGCAUAUGAAUUUGAUCCUUUGUGACUCUGAUGAGUUCAGAAAGAUCAAGCCAAAAAACUCCAAACAAGCAGAAAGGGAAGAGAAGCGAGUCCUCGGUCUGGUGCUGUUACCAGGGGAGAACCUGGUCUCUAUGACAGUAGAGGGACCUCCUCCUAAAGACAGUGGUAUUGCACAAGUGCCACUUGCUGGAGCUGCUGGGGGCCCCGGGAUCGGCAGGGCUGCUGGCAGAGGAAUUCCAGCUGGGGUUCCCAUGCCCCAGGGUCCUUCAGGAGUUGCUGGGCCAGUCCAUUGGGUUGGUGGGCCAUCUCAACAGGUGAUGACCCCACAAGGAAGAGGCACUGUGGCAGCCACUGCAGCUGCUGCCACAGCCAGUAUUACAGGGGCCCCAACCCAGUACCCACCUGGCCGUGCAGGUCCUCCCCAACCUAUGGGCCGAGGAGCACCCCCUCCAGGCAUGAUGGGCCCGCCUCCUGGUAUGAGGCCUCCCAUGGCCCCCCCAAUGGGGAUUCCCCCCUGGACAAGGGACUCCAAUGGGCAUGCCCCCUCCGGGGAUGCGGCCCCCUCCCCCAGGGAUGCGAGGCCUUCUUUGACCCUUGGCCACAGAGUUAUGGAAGUAGCUCCACAGAGGCCUGGGCUCGAUUCCUCAGGGCCACGUUACCACAGACCUGUUUGUUUGUUAUGCUGUUGUUCGAGGAGUCUCACCGGAUUGUCUGGUUUCCCUUACAGGGCCCCCUCCCCCGGGAAUUCGCCCACCAAGGCCCUAGACUCAUCUUGGUCCUCCUCAGCUCCCUGCCUGUUUCCUGUAAGGCUGUACAUAGUCCUUUUAUUUCCUUGUGGCCUAUGAAACUGGUUUAUAAUAAACUCUUAAGAGAAUAUUAUAAAUGCA